ACUUGGUGUUACUGCGAAGGGGGGACGGAGAAGGCUAUGUUGGCCGGGCGACGGUUGUCCCGGUUUAAGCGUGUAGGCUGGUUUUCCAGGCAAAUCCGGAAAAUCAAGGCUGAGGCGUGAUGACGAGGCACUACGGUGCUGAAGCAACAAAUGCCCUGCUUCCAGGAAAAGCCUCUAAGCAUCAGGUAACAUCAAAUCGUACCCCAAACCGACACAGGUGGUCAGGUAGAGAAUACCAAGGCGCUUGAGAGAACUCGGGUGAAGGAACUAGGCAAAAUGGUGCCGUAACUUCGGGAGAAGGCACGCUGAUAUGUAGGUGAAGCGACUUGCUCGUGGAGCUGAAAUCAGUCGAAGAUACCAGCUGGCUGCAACUGUUUAUUAAAAACACAGCACUGUGCAAACACGAAA
rnacentral:rRNA from 1 species